UACGAAGGGGGCUAGCGUUGCUCGGAUUGACUGGGCGUAAAGGGCGCGUAGGCGGUUCGUACAGUCAGACGUGAAAUUCCUGGGCUCAACCUGGGGGCUGCGUUUGAUACGUGCGGACUUGAGUGCGAGAGGUCGUGGAAUUCCCAGUGUAGAGGUGAAAUUCGUAGAUAUUGGGAAGAACACCGGUGGCGAAGGCGGCGACCUGGUCCGAUACUGACGCUGAGGCGCGAAAGCGUGGGGAGCAAACAGG
rnacentral:rRNA from 1 species